rnacentral:rRNA from 1 species
UGAUAGAAAUUUAAACACUUUUUAAAGUAUCAAUUGGAGGGCAAGUCUGGUGCCAGCAGCCGCGGUAAUUCCAGCUCCAAUAGCGUAUAUUAAAAUUGUUGCAGUUAAAAAGCUCGUAGUUGAAUUUCUGUUAAAAAUAACCGGUCUGCUUUUUUUAUUAAAAGUUGUAUCAUUUUGGUGUGUUUUUAACAAUAAUAAUGUCCUUUGAAAAUGUUUUUUACUUUAUUGUAAUAAGUCAUUGUUUUGAGGAUUUUUACUUUGAGAAAAUUAGAGUGUUUUUAGCAGGCUUUUACGCUUUUGAAUACUGCAGCAUGGAAUAAUAAGAUAGGAUUUUAGUUCUACAUUAUUGGUUUUAAGAACUAAAUUAAUGAUUGAUAGGGAUAGUUGGGGGCAUUUGUAUUUAACUGUCAGAGGUGAAAUUCUUAGAUUUGUUAAAGACAAACUAUUGCGAAAGCAUUUGCCAAAGAUGUUCUCAUUAAUCAAGAACGAAAGUUAGGGGAUCGAAG